rnacentral:rRNA from 1 species
UAGGGAAUCUUCGGCAAUGGACGGAAGUCUGACCGAGCAACGCCGCGUGAGUGAAGAAGGUUUUCGGAUCGUAAAGCUCUGUUGUAAGAGAAGAACGAGUGUGAGAGUGGAAAGUUCACACUGUGACGGUAUCUUACCAGAAAGGGACGGCUAACUACGUGCCAGCAGCCGCGGUAAUACGUAGGUCCCGAGCGUUGUCCGGAUUUAUUGGGCGUAAAGCGAGCGCAGGCGGUUAGAUAAGUCUGAAGUUAAAGGCUGUGGCUUAACCAUAGUACGCUUUGGAAACUGUUUAACUUGAGUGCAAGAGGGGAGAGUGGAAUUCCAUGUGUAGCGGUGAAAUGCGUAGAUAUAUGGAGGAACACCGGUGGCGAAAGUGGCUCUCUGGCUUGUAACUGACGCUGAGGCUCGAAAGCGUGGGGAGCAAACAGGAUUAGAUACCCUGGUAGUCCACGCCGUAACGAUGAGUGCUAGGUGUUAGACCCUUUCCGGGGUUUAGUGCCGCAGCUAACGCAUUAAGCACUCCGCCUGGGGAGUACGACCGCAAGGUUG